rnacentral:rRNA from 1 species
CCUACGGGGGGCAGCAGUGAGGAAUAUUGGUCAAUGGACGCGAGUCUGAACCAGCCAAGUAGCGUGAAGGAUGACUGCCCUAUGGGUUGUAAACUUCUUUUAUAAAGGAAUAAAACGAGGCACGUGUGCCUUUUUGCAUGUACUUUAUGAAUAAGGAUCGGCUAACUCCGUGCCAGCAGCCGCGGUAAUACGGAGGAUCCGAGCGUUAUCCGGAUUUAUUGGGUUUAAAGGGAGCGUAGAUGGGUUGUUAAGUCAGUUGUGAAAGUUUGCGGCUCAACCGUAAAAUUGCAAUUGAUACUGGCAGUCUUGAGUACAGUUGAGGUAGGCGGAAUUCGUGGUGUAGCGGUGAAAUGCUUAGAUAUCACGAAGAACCCCGAUUGCGAAGGCAGCUUACUAAACUGUGACUGACAUUGAGGCGCGAAAGUGUGGGUAGCAAACAGGAUUAGAUACCCCAGUAGUC